UCAGUGAAAUUGAACUCGCUGUGAAGAUGCAGUGUACCCGCGGCAAGACGGAAAGACCCCGUGAACCUUUACUAUAGCUUGACACUGAACAUUGAGCCUUGAUGUGUAGGAUAGGUGGGAGGCUUUGAAGUGUGGACGCCAGUCUGCAUGGAGCCGACCUUGAAAUACCACCCUUUAAUGUUUGAUGUUCUAACGUUGACCCGUAAUCCGGGUUGCGGACAGUGUCUGGUGGGUAGUUUGACUGGGGCGGUCUCCUCCUAAAGAGUAACGGAGGAGCACGAAGGUUGGCUAAUCCUGGUCGGACAUCAGGAGGUUAGUGCAAUGGCAUAAGCCAGCUUGACUGCGAGCGUGACGGCGCGAGCAGGUGCGAAAGCAGGUCAUAGUGAUCCGGUGGUUCUGAAUGGAAGGGCCAUCGCUCAACGGAUAAAAGGUACUCCGGGGAUAACAGGCUGAUACCGCCCAAGAGUUCAUAUCGACGGCGGUGUUUGGCACCUCGAUGUCGGCUCAUCACAUCCUGGGGCUGAAGUAGGUCCCAAGGGUAUGGCUGUUCGCCAUUUAAAGUGGUACGCGAGCUGGGUUUAGAACGUCGUGAGACAGUUCGGUCCCUAUCUGCCGUGGGCGCUGGAGAACUGAGGGGGGCUGCUCCUAGUACGAGAGGACCGGAGUGGACGCAUCACUGGUGUUCGGGUUGUCAUGCCAAUGGCACUGCCCGGUAGCUAAAUGCGGAAGAGAUAAGUGCUGAAAGCAUCUAAGCACGAAACUUGCCCCGAGAUGAGUUCUCCCUGACUCCUUGAGAGUCCUGAAGGAACGUUGAAGACGACGACGUUGAUAGGCCGGGUGUGUAAGCGCAGCGAUGCGUUGAGCUAACCGGUACUAAUGAACCGUGAGG
rnacentral:rRNA from 1 species